UUCUCAAUACUUUCUUCUCCCUGGUGUGGCAUUUGAACUACUUCAUCAUCUGCUUUGUGUUUCCAGUUUGGGAGACUAGACUAAGCAGGGCUGGGAAAAUGCAGUAUAUUCCUUAGUAAUUGUCUAGACUGUGAUGGGAUUGCAAGGCUAUACAAAGGCAAUGGCAAAGGGUGGGUACUAGACAAUGCUUAUUAUGCUCUUCUCCCCAAAGCACUUGUGAUUUAUUUGUUUGCUUGCUCAAAACCCUCUACCCGUUUCAUUUAUGGAGAUUAUGGCAAAAUCUUGAUUAUAAUGAAGAAAGGAAGAAUCAAAUACUGGGCCUGUCAAACUUUGACCAAUAAAUAUCCUCUGAGGGAAAGAGUCAUACAAUAGCAGAUGAGACAUUGCAGGUUCUAAUCUCAAAAGGUCCUGGAGACCUGAGUGGGCUGCUGCACAAGUCUGUACCCAUGUCACCAGGUCUGGGAAAUAUCAUGAAAUUUGGUGAAAAGCCUGGAGCAGUGAUUGAAGUUCCUUGGGAAGAUAGUUCUGUAUAUCCCCUCCGGUAAUUCCUUGAGAUGGAAGGCAUCAAGUCCGGUGGCAGGAAUCAUUGUUGAUUUAUGUCGCAACUGCGACAUUCCAUGGAGCUUUCCAAGUCAGCACAUUCUGGAAGGCACCCUCUGUGUAUCAGUCUCCUCACUCGGGUUUGUGUAUUUUUGACCAGGAAUGUGAAGGCUGCAGUUGGUGGCAACCGUGGUAGAGCAAGAGGAGACAAGGCAGCAGGGAAAGGACUGCUUGGCCUGGGGCUAACCUGUGUUUAAAGCUCAAGGCUGCUCAGGGUGGAUUCACUGGGAAGCUGCUGAGCCUUCAGCUUCAAGAUCUCUUACUUUCCUGGGUCCCUUCCAAGUCCUUGGAUCUGAUUUCAAGAAUUCCGUGUUGGUACUUAUUGUAUUGCCUUAAGGCCUCAUAAAUCCCACAAAUGUCGUUGAUCCUGGCACUUACAUGUGACCUUGGGCAAGUUUCUCUACUUCACUGAGCUUCUGCUUUCUCGUCUCAGUAAUGGGACUAAGGAUCCUUCACCCUGCUGUAGAACUUGGGUUUAUGAGAGGAUGAAGGGGAAGAAGACAUCGAGUGAAAGAUGAGAGAAGAGGUCAGCUCAAGGCAGAAGUUCAGUGUCUGAAGUGAAGCUUAUCUGAACAUCCUAGAAUGCUCUAGGUCCAAGGAGAAUCCUGGAGAGCUCGCAGAAUGAAGCUCGCUCUUGCCUUUGCUAACACGUUAGGGAUCUAAAGUUGCCUGGAAGCAUCUCUUUGGGUUUGGCUUUGCUCUCUCCAGGCCACAUGGGUGUGUCAGAUUUUCUUAGUUUGACAGUUUAGAGAGUUCAUGUCCACCUUUGGCACUGGACCAAGAACACUGGACUUGGCCUCGUAGCCAGAGAGGAGGAUGUUGUCAAAUUGGCCUUGGCUGUGAACGACCCAGGGGCUCACAUGGGGGAGGCAAUUCCCAGGCCUCUGUUUCCAGGCACUACUCAAAACAGGAAAGGCGGAAAGACAAACAGCGGUUUAUGAGAAAGCAAAACGCAAUGGCAACUUCAACAGAUUCCCCACUGUUCCCUCGUGUGGCGUCAGCCGGGCUACAGAGAGUGUGCAGCACGUGGUGCCAUGGGUAUUAUUUGUUUGUUCUAGAAAGAAUUUCAGCCUCAGAGGAGAAGAUGAAUAAAAUGACAAGCUCCUAUAGUUCUUUCCAGUAA